AAAUUGAAGAGUUUGAUCAUGGCUCAGAUUGAACGCUGGCGGCAGGCCUAACACAUGCAAGUCGAACGGUAACAGGAAGCAGCUUGCUGCUUCGCUGACGAGUGGCGGACGGGUGAGUAAUGUCUGGGAAACUGCCUGAUGGAGGGGGAUAACUACUGGAAACGGUGGCUAAUACCGCAUAACGUCGCAAGACCAAAGAGGGGGACCUUCGGGCCUCUUGCCAUCAGAUGUGCCCAGAUGGGAUUAGCUUGUUGGUGAGGUAACGGCUCACCAAGGCGACGAUCCCUAGCUGGUCUGAGAGGAUGACCAGCCACACUGGAACUGAGACACGGUCCAGACUCCUACGGGAGGCAGCAGUGGGGAAUAUUGCACAAUGGGCGCAAGCCUGAUGCAGCCAUGCCGCGUGUAUGAAGAAGGCCUUCGGGUUGUAAAGUACUUUCAGCGGGGAGGAAGGUGUUGCGGUUAAUAACCGCAGCAAUUGACGUUACCC
rnacentral:rRNA from 2 species